ACCCCGCGCCAGAGCGCAGUUCAGAGCGCGGCCCGGAACUGCAGCUCCACGGGGCGGGCCCAGGCCGGGGGUCGCGCAUCUCCAGCCGGUGACUCAGGGCCGCUCGGUCCCGGGGUGAGUCUGGGUAGGCGGGACCGAGCAGGGCCGCGCGGGGGCAGCCGCCGGGCUCUCGGUGCCCUGGGCGCUGGGAGCCAAGGCUGGCUCUGGCCCGUCGCCAUUCCGCCGCGGGCGUCGGUCUCGGCUGGGGCCCCGGGCACCAGAGGCAGGCCCGCGCGCUCCUCUCCCGGACUGAGCAGCCAGGCGCGAGCGCAAACAAACAGCUGGGGCUGCGAGCGCCCCCGCCCCGGCCCGGAGAGCAGCCGGCCCGGCCCCCAGCCGGGGCGCCCGUCCGCCCACCAUGAGGAAAAUCCGCGCCAAUGCUAUCGCCAUCCUGACCGUAGCCUGGAUCCUGGGCACUUUCUACUACUUAUGGCAGGACAACCGAGCCCACGCAGCAUCCUCCGGCGGCCGGGGCGCGCCGAGGGCCGGCGGGAGGCCGGAGCAGCUCCGCGAGGACCGCACCAUCCCGCUCAUUGUGAGUCCGCCCGGUGCGCCGCGCGGCCGGCCGGGGAGCCGCGGCGCGCGUCCUGCCCCCGCGCGGCAGCCGAGGGCGCGGGGCCCGGCCGGGGGCUGAGUGCCCGCCGCGCCGGGCCGGCUUUGUAUAUGUUGGAGCAUUCCAGCUCGUUGUUAUGGCAACCUCGGCCCGGCUGGCGGGACCGGGGUGCGCGGAUGAGGGGAGGGUGACAGCGGGUGGGGGCUGGGAGAAAGUGCUGCAAGUUUGGUGGGCCCGGCGUGCGCGCGCGACGGGGAACGUGGCGGCUCUCCCCGCAAGGCGCCGCCGGCCCGGGGGUUGGGGGGCUGCGGGCUCCUCCGCCGCGCGGGCUGGCGUCUCCUGGACCUUGAGCGCAGCAGGCAGGCGUUGGGAGCGGCGCGCAGCCGAGCGCGUAGGUGGAGGUGCGCGCCCCCUCUCCAGCCUCCUGGGGGCAAAGGACGUCGGUGGCGGCGUGGGGAGGAGAGGGUCGCUAGGCGUUGCUCCUGCCUUCGCGCCCCGUUCUCAGCCCGCGUCAACUUGAACCGGUUUCUCCGCACUGACACCCUGCGGUGUUCUCUGAGUCGGGGGGGAGGGGGAGG
rnacentral:lncRNA from 1 species